AUAUUCAUUGUCAGACCUUCACUCAGUCUGAAGCUGUGGUAAAGAGACCAGGUGAAUCUUUUCGUCUGGUCUGUACUGCCUCUGGAUUUACUUUCAGCAGCUACGCGGCAGCUGUAGUGAGACAGGCAGCUGGUAAAGGACUUGAAUGGAUUGCAUACAUCGGCACGUACAGUUCUCCAAUCUCCUAUUCCCAGUCAGUUCAGGGCAGGUUCACAGUGUCCAGAGAUGAUUCCAGCAGUCAACUGUAUCUACAGAUGAACAGCCUCAAGACUGAAGACACUGCUGUGUAUUACUGCGCUAUAGAGUCACAGUGA